rnacentral:rRNA from 1 species
CCUACGGGUGGCUGCAGUGGGGAAUAUUGGACAAUGGGGGCAACCCUGAUCCAGCCAUGCCGCGUGUGUGAAGAAGGCCCUCGGGUUGUAAAGCACUUUCAGUGAGGAAGAACGCCUGGUGGUUAAUACCCAUCAGGAAAGACAUCACACACAGAAGAAGCACCGGCUAACUCCGUGCCAGCAGCCGCGGUAAUACGGAGGGUGCGAGCGUUAAUCGGAAUUACUGGGCGUAAAGCGCGCGUAGGUGGCUUGAUAAGCCGGUUGUGAAAGCCCCGGGCUCAACCUGGGAACGGCAUCCGGAACUGUCAAGCUAGAGUGCAGGAGAGGAAGGUAGAAUUCCCGGUGUAGCGGUGAAAUGCGUAGAGAUCGGGAGGAAUACCAGUGGCGAAGGCGGCCUUCUGGACUGACACUGACACUGAGGUGCGAAAGCGUGGGUAGCAAACAGGAUUAGAUACCCGAGUAGUC